rnacentral:rRNA from 1 species
GACGAACCGUGCGAACGUUGUUCGGAAUCACUGGGCUUAAAGGGCGCGUAGGCGGGCUGUCAAGUCUGGGGUGAAAUGUCGCGGCUCAACCGCGGAACUGCCUCAGAUACUGACGGCCUCGAGGGAGGUAGGGGCGUGCGGAACUGUAGGUGGAGCGGUGAAAUGCGUUGAUAUCUACAGGAACUCCGGUGGCGAAAGCGGCGCGCUGGACCUCUUCUGACGCUGAGGCGCGAAAGCUAGGGGAGCAAACAGG